AAGUAUAAAUUGUCUUUGAUCAUGAUAAGAGAGGUUUGACCUAAGAUAAGUGUAGGAAGGUCAACAAUGGCAUAUCGGUUAUACGAUGUUUAGAUAUUAUUUAAAUGACCUGAAAAUUCAAACUUGAUAUGGGUUUUGAUAUAAUCGUACUUUUGGUUUUGCUACUAAUUAUUAGAGUGUGAUUUAUAUAUAGAUCUUCCGUAUUAUUGAA
rnacentral:lncRNA from 1 species